rnacentral:tRNA from 1 species
GCUCCUGUAGCUCAACUGGAUAGAGCACCCGACUUCUAAUCGGACGGUUGCGAGUUCGAAUCUCGCUGGGAGUACAA